UGCAGAGGAAGUUUUCGGAUGGAAUCGGCGUAACUUAGUGGCGGACGGGUGAGUAACGCGUGGGAAACCUGCCCUGUACCGGGGGAUAACACUUAGAAAUAGGUGCUAAUACCGCAUAAGCGCACAGCUUCACAUGAGGCAGUGUGAAAAACUCCGGUGGUACAGGAUGGUCCCGCGUCUGAUUAGCCAGUUGGCAGGGUAACGGCCUACCAAAGCGACGAUCAGUAGCCGGCCUGAGAGGGUGAACGGCCACAUUGGGACUGAGACACGGCCCAAACUCCUACGGGAGGCAGCAGUGGGGAAUAUUGCACAAUGGGGGAAACCCUGAUGCAGCGACGCCGCGUGAGUGAAGAAGUAUUUCGGUAUGUAAAGCUCUAUCAGCAGGGAAGAAAAUGACGGUACCUGACUAAGAAGCCCCGGCUAACUACGUGCCAGCAGCCGCGGUAAUACGUAGGGGGCAAGCGUUAUCCGGAUUUACUGGGUGUAAAGGGAGCGUAGACGGCAUGACAAGCCAGAUGUGAAAACCCAGGGCUCAACCCUGGGACUGCAUUUGGAACUGCCAGGCUGGAGUGCAGGAGAGGUAAGCGGAAUUCCUAGUGUAGCGGUGAAGUGCGUAGAUAUUAGGAGGAACACCAGUGGCGAAGGCGGCUUACUGGACUGUAACUGACGUUGAGGCUCGAAAGCGUGGGGAGCAAACAGGAUUAGAUACCCUGGUAGUCCACGCGGUAAACGAUGAUUGCUAGGUGUAGGUGGGUAUGGACCCAUCGGUGCCGCAGCUAACGCAAUAAGCAAUCCA
rnacentral:rRNA from 1 species